UUAUCCACCCAAAAAAGAAAUAAUGCAACACUAUGCAUGCGGCGUCUAAAAUAGUGUUUAGAAAAAGAAGAGUCAUAAACCCUAGAUAUGAAAGCGGGAAACAUCACCACCUUGCAACGUCUUGCUCCGCUUGUGCUCCGGUUCCUAUUUAACGUGGAAUAUGUUAAUGGAGACUCUUUCUACCAUAGUUUAAUCAUGAAAAAGUGUUGGGCCCUUUGUUGCGGGUCGUGGCAUUUUCUCAAAGACGGCCCGGUUCAUAAUGUGAUAAUGAUGGUGUUCAUGAAGUAGUACCAUGUUUACAUAAAUAUCCAAGAAUAACCCUUUUCACUGAUCGUUCAAGAAUGGCAGAGAAGUUUGUUGUUGAUCUGAUAGAAAGUGCUCGAUAAAUUAGACAAAGCUGGAUUUGAAUGCAAAACAUUGGGCCUUAUAUCCAUCAGGUUUCUUACAAUAUUUUGUAGAUUGCGUAAUAUCAUUGACUUAUAUCGUAAACUUCAUUAAUGGUUGAUGCUCCCAAUAACUGUGGUGAAGUUGUAACUUGCGUUAAAUUACUGUGUCCUGAUUAACUCUGGGGUUUUAAUUUUUCCUGUUCAGAACAUUUCUUACAGAAGAAAGCUAGCAGUUUUAUGAUGAUUGAACUCGAUCUUACUUAAAGUAUGUCUGUUCAGUCCCCGUAAUGUAUAUUGAUCUAGGAUUUAACAUUUAAAUUUGUUAUGGUGGCCCUCCUGAGCUUUAUAAUUUUUCUCUUUAACGCAGUGAAAAUCAAUAUUAUAUGAGUGAAUAAAUUAUAUUGUAACUGUUAUAACCCAGAUGAAAUAGUUUGAAACUUUGAAUGAUCUUAUCUUUUAUGGCACAAUAGGGAUAAGCAGUAUUGUCAACACACUCUACAGGGUCGCUACAGCAGUGUAGCGGCAGCCCCUGGCCACUUUCAGAAGUGGAGCACUUGGUUCGUAGCCGCAGAAGCUGCUUUAGCGGUCAAAACAGCGGCUUGUUGCGACCUCAAUAGUGCCACACCUGGUGUAAGUUAUCCUCCAAAUUAAAACAAUUAGGAAUAAAGGCAUGCGAUCUCUUUGGUAAUGAAUCUGAGUUGUCACUCAUAUUCAAACAAGCCAGAUCCGGUCACAACUAAUGAUGAUAAUCGUAAAACCCAGUGGCUACCACCGCCGCCAAAAUUCACCGUCGACAUGGAAAAAUCACACCUGGAUUUAACCCUCUUUCGAUUAGCUUUCUACACUUAUGUUCAACCCUCUUUCGAUUAAUUUUCUAUAUUUAUGUACAAAAAUGAAAAUGCCAAGUGUUUAAUUAUUUUUAUUGUACCAAGUGUUUAAUUUUGUGUAUUGGGUUUCCGGAUUCAUCUUUUUGAAUUUAUUGUAUUUAGGUACUGCACUGCAGUGUUACCAAGAUCCACCAUGACUGUUAUACAUGGCGGUUUUUGGGCUCGCCGCAAUGGUAAAUGUUGGUCGAUAUUGCAGGUUUUUCCGCUAUAACGGCGGCCCAAAGUGGCCAAUAUUGCGGGAUUUUGACUCUCCACCAUGGAGUGCUAUCCGUCAUUGACAACAACACUGCUGCACGGUAAGGUGAAGCAGAAUACCAUAGGGAAGACUCGAAUGGACCGUGUUUAGUCUCACAACAAAUGGAAGCUUGCUUGAAUGAAACAUUCAAGAACAAAAUCCCUAUAAUUAAAAGGACAGUUUAAAUCAACCUUUUGCGCUAAACCUUGUGUAUUUCUAGGUUAUUACUACUACAAAAGCAGUCAAUUGUCAUUUUGCUGGAUGCUUUGCAAAGAAUGCAGUCACACUUAGCUGCAGUUUCAAAUGGUGCCUUUUUUACAGGU